rnacentral:rRNA from 1 species
UACGUAGGGGGCUAGCGUUGUCCGGAUUUAUUGGGCGUAAAGAGCUCGUAGGCGGCUUGUCGCGUCGACUGUGAAAACCCGUGGCUCAACCAUGUGGUCUGCAGUCGAUACGGGCAGGCUAGAAUUCGGUAGGGGAGACUGGAAUUCCUGGUGUAGCGGUGAAAUGCGCAGAUAUCAGGAGGAACACCGGUGGCGAAGGCGGGUCUCUGGGCCGAUAUUGACGCUGAGGAGCGAAAGCGUGGGGAGCGAACAGG